AUUUAGUCUUGGGUAUGGACUGGUUGACCAAGUAUUAUGACACGAUUGAUUGUAAGAAUCGCAUGGUUAUUUUUAGAGAACCGGGGCAGACUGGAGUGAUAUUUAGAGGAUGCUAGAGUUCGCUAUUUGCGAUGAUGAUCAGCUCGUCUCGAGCUAGGCAGCUGAUCAGAAGAGGUUGCAUAGCCUAUUUGGAUAGUGUUGUUGUGAGGGGC
rnacentral:lncRNA from 1 species